GCCAGACUCCUACGGGAGGCAGCAGUGGGGGAUAUUGCACAAUGGGGGGAACCCUGAUGCAGCGACGCCGCGUGGGUGAAGGAGUAUUUCGGUAUGUAAAGCCCUAUCGGCAGGGAAGAAGCAAGACGGUACCUGACUAAGAAGCCCCGGCUAACUACGUGCCAGCAGCCGCGGUAAUACGUAGGGGGCAAGCGUUAUCCGGAUUUACUGGGUGUAAAGGGAGCGUAGACGGCGAUGCAAGUCUGAAGUGAAAGGCGGGGGCCCAACCCCCGGACUGCUUUGGAAACUGUAUAGCUGGAGUGCAGGAGAGGUAAGUGGAAUUCCUAGUGUAGCGGUGAAAUGCGUAGAUAUUAGGAGGAACACCAGUGGCGAAGGCGGCUUACUGGACUGUAACUGACGUUGAGGCUCGAAAGCGUGGGGAGCAAACAGGAUUAGAUACCCCCGUAU
rnacentral:rRNA from 1 species